rnacentral:rRNA from 1 species
UACGUAGGGUGCGAGCGUAAAUCGGAAUUACUGGGCGUAAAGCGUGCGCAGGCGGUUCGCUAAGACCGAUGUGAAAUCCCCGGGCUUAACCUGGGAACUGCAUUGGUGACUGGCGGGCUAGAGUAUGGCAGAGGGGGGUAGAAUUCCACGUGUAGCAGUGAAAUGCGUAGAGAUGUGGAGGAAUACCGAUGGCGAAGGCAGCCCCCUGGGCCAAUACUGACGCUCAUGCACGAAAGCGUGGGGAGCAAACAGG